AAAAAGUGAUUAACUAUUGAAUGACCGAUUGCAGUAAUAUUGGAAACAAAUUCGGAUGCUAAUUUGGCGCUGAGGAUAUUCCAAGGGAAAAUACAUCAGUUAAGAAGAGUUUUAUUUAUCAUCGCAUCUCGCCCAACCUCUCAAGGCGCAUUACACGCCAGCAAGCGCCUGAUAAUAUACGCACCCGCAUCACACGCAACAUCUCCGCUGUAAGGCGGGUCACCUGAAGUCAAGGGGCAAGAAACCUGGAAAAAUAGUUCGCCUAAAUUCCGUAGCAAAGAAUUUCCAGUAACGGCGCUACCUGUCACUUCUUCGGCGGGGAAAAUGGAGUAAUUGAAUAAUAAAUCAAACAAUCAGAGAAAUUAGGAAACGACGUUGAAAAAAAUCGAGAAAUAAACUUAAGGUCUUGUCACUCCACCUGCAGAUUAUCGGAUGCUAGCAGGGGAUAGAGGACGUCUUUUAAUUGAUCGAAAAUCAAUAGAAAAAUUGAAAAUGAUUCAGGAAAAAUAGGGGAAAGGAUGAAGAAUGAUGACAAGGCAGUGAUUCUUCAUAUUUCAGUCUAGAGAGGCAAGAUCUGAUUACAAACUCGAAUAACGACUGCAAAUUAUGGAUAUAUUACAAUUUCUUUGCUCUUCUGGAAAACCAUUUCAAUUAGGAACACUGGAAAUAUCUUCAUGUCGAAUGAUGGACUAACUAAUCGACUAGAUGGAUUCGCAUGCAGAAAUGGGCAGAAAACGACCCGAGGACAUCCUGAAUUAUAUAUAUUCAUCCCUCUCGAUGCAGGAUAUGGAUGACAGGACCUUUUUCUCUGAACUGAAAUCAGGAAAAAAAAAGAUUGAAGGACCACGGACUCGUCGCCACCCUGCAAAGGUAUGGAUGAUACCGGAUGAAUAGCUCAUAGAAAUCGGUUGAUCAUCCUCCACUCAGGAUUUUGCAAAUCAAAUCUUCGAAUUGAAG
rnacentral:lncRNA from 1 species